rnacentral:rRNA from 1 species
CAGCCGCCGCGGUAAUACGGAGGGUGCAAGCGUUAAUCGGAAUUACUGGGCGUAAAGCGCACGCAGGCGGUCUGACAAGUCAGAUGUGAAAUCCCCGGGCUUAACCUGGGAACUGCAUUUGAAACUGUCAGGCUGGAGUCUUGUAGAGGGGGGUGGAAUUCCAGGUGUAGCGGUGAAAUGCGUAGAGAUCUGGAGGAAUACCGGUGGCGAAGGCGGCCCCCUGGACAAAGACUGACGCUCAGGUGCGAAAGCGUGGGGAGCAAACAGGAUUAGAUACCCCAGUAGUCCCUGUCUAUUAUAA